UGCCAGCCGCCGCGGUAAUACGAAGGGUGCUAGCGUUGUUCGGAAUUACUGGGCGUAAAGAGCGCGCGGGCGGAUUGGUAAGUCAGAUGUGAAAUCUCGGGGCUCAACCCCGAAACUGCGUCUGUAACUAUUAAUCUAGAGUGUUGGAGGGGGAAGUGGAAUUUCGCAUGUAGGGGUAAAAUCCGUAGAGAUGCGAAGGAACACCAGUGGCGAAGGCGACUUCCUGGACAACAACUGACGCUGAGAUGCGAAAGCGUGGGGAGCAAACAGGAUUAGAUA
rnacentral:rRNA from 1 species